GAAGAAACUGAUCACGAUGGUCUCUUACUUUCCAAAAUCCUUUUUUAAUGUAGAGCAACUUGCUGGCAUGUCGUGUAUGGGGACAAGAGACUCAAAACCUCUACCUUAGCAGCAUCGGGAUUGCCUGACUAAGCUGCUUCGUAAAUGGCAUCCAGAAUUUCAAGGUUUAAAUCAGGCUGUCAAUAAUACGUGCUCUGCAGCUAGGAGGAAGUGGAGACAAGUAAUUGGAGAGCCUUCAUCCUGGGAGUAACUAUAAAUAUACACCAAAAAGAAAAAAGACAAGUUCAACUUGCAGAAGAAGCAGAGUAAUUGUCUAAAAUUUUGAUUUCUUGAACGAAAAAUUAACUUUUUUUUUAUAUAUGUAAGCUGGCUAAAUUAUUUAAAUUUGCUGUUAUUUCGCUUUUGAAAAAAAUUAGCACCUUUAACAUCUAUCCUAUAUAAAUGAGUUCCCACAUUUUUUUGUAACAAAUGUGUCCUCUUUUCACGAUAAUUUAAUUGAACUUAUUAAAAUUACAGAAAUACUACAUAUUUGAAAUGUUCUCUUAAGGUUUACGAGUCAGCAUACUUAAUAUUAUUCAACUCUACAUGUUAAUUCAAGAUUAAUAAAUUUUA